rnacentral:tRNA from 1 species
GGGAGCAGGCGGAAGGCUGGUGCCGCCCGCGGUCUUCAAAACCGCUGGGGGACGUGGACCGUCCCUGGAGGGUUCGAUUCCCUCCUGCUCCCGCCA